GGAUCUCUGCCCCGUGAGGGGAAGGGACUCGGGGAUCUCUGCCCCGUGAGGGGAAGGGACUCGGGGGUGCCGGCCCGUGAGGGGAGGAGGUUCGUGCAGUUGGCCCCUGAGGGGAAGGGGUUCCAGCUCCGUCCUGUUCGCGCUGAGGCGCUGUUUCUGAGGGAGAUGGGGCAGCCGCUGUGUGGAAAUGGCGGGCAGUACCCCACGGGUCCCUCUCCGGCAGGGAGUGGGGCACAUCUCAGCUGCAGAACGGGCCCCGUGAGCAGCAGCAGCCCUCGGUGGGUGCUUGCCGUCCCUUACCGCAGCAGCGCUGUGCUCUCCAGCAGAGCCUGUGCAGACUGAUUGAGGUGUGUGUCCCCUCCUUUACGAUGUGUGUCCAGCUCCUGCAGCUGCCCUCCGAAGCGUGCUUCAGGCAAGGCUGGCUUUAGGUUUAUCCGAGUCUGGGCUGUGUGAGGCAUGGGAGGUAACCAGGGGUGAGCUUGGGGCUUUUGGGGCUUUCCUGUGGUGGCACAAGCUCAGCACGCUGUGGUUGCUCCUCUCGUCGCUGCCUGAAGGAGCAGAGAACGUGCUCGCCAACCUCCACGUGGAAAAGCUCCUGCCACUGAAUGUACCUACAGAUGCAUUCCUUCAGUCUUGCCUCCUCAUUUGAAAAAGCCAUAGCUGUAGAAACUUAUGACUCACUUCUAUGAGGAGGCAACUAUUAGGAAGUAUUUAAAUGCCCUUCUAGGAACAAACUUUCUUUUUCAUCACUUCAAUUCGAGCAGUUACUUUGUUUUUGGGAUGGCAUUACGCUGGUCAGUGAAACUUGUUGUAGGAGUGAUACUUUUGAUUUGUGGAAUGCCCUCUGUGUGAUUUCCAGAGGAAACUUUCUCUAUAGCUUUGUUGAUGUGGUGUUUACCUGUGCUAUGGCAGGGAUUCUUAAGCACUUUUGCUUUAAAGCUUUAAAAGGAAAAGUAGAGUUUUGAGGUGUGUAGACUGCUGGGGAGCAGCGGCUAAAUUACCACUGGUGUGAAGUUUGUAUCUAGCAGGCAGGAGCUGUGCUGUUCUAAUAAGUCAUGAGAAGGACACUUUAUGUUUUUGAAGCCUUUGUUGGCUUUCUAACUUUACAGAUCGUGUGCUCAGCCACAUGGCUGCUGGAUGGGGCUCAAAACCUGUAUUUUUUUUCCAUAGGGUCUUUUUAAUCCAUACCUUCUGUGGAAUGCAGCAGUUUAAAGCUAGGCAUCUGUAGUCAUCCCCAAAAGAUUGCCAGUGCAAUGGAAACCAUAACACACUCGAAUAAAUAAAUACAAUUACACAUACUUACUCUGUUCUGAUUGCCUGACCAGCUCUAGAGGUGCUGUGGGGAUUCCAGUUCCUCAGUCUUCAUUUUGUGGGGGUGUGUUAUGUGUUUUCUUUACUUUGUCUCUGGGGCAGCUGGGAAAAUCUUGUAUUCAUGUACACGGUUGUGUUUUGGGCAGAAUCCCCGUGGAUGCAAGGUGGUGUGGUGCCAAAUCAGACCCUGUGUGAUGUAAUACUGCACUUAAUUCUUCCUCUGUUAAGUUUCUUGGGAAAACUUCUGCAGGAUUUAAGGCUUGGAGAGCUGGAAUGUGAAUGGUCUCUCUUCCUUUUUAUCGUGCCUAAAAGGAACUGCAUCCUGUUAACAUCUGAGUGAGGGUGGUAACAGUGCUUUGUUUAAUUCAGUUUGUUGGUGUUGCUCUGGGGGAUUGGCCUCUGCAGAGUGACUGUAAUUGAAGAUAGCACUGGAGCUGCUGGGGUUGAAUUUGGAAGUGAUUCCAGUAGAAUGGCCGGGCACGGCGAGCUGCUGGUGGGUUAAAAGCAGGGCUGUAACUCUAGCACGUAGAAUAAACAGUUCCUAUGUGUGUUUUGAUGUUCUAGCUAGCUCUGGUGUUCAAAACAAACUGAUGUAAGAGACCAAAAAGUCAGAUUCUUUUAACUCCUUCUGCUUGUGCAGCAGGGUCACUUCUGGUUUUUUAGUGUGUGCAUGUAUGUAAGAGACAAAUAUCUAAAUCCUUAAAUCAGAUUCUUAAUGAAUAUUAACUACUUUGGGAGUAGAUGCAGCUUCACCAUUUCAUCAGGUGCUGGUAGUGCCCAGAUUGCAAUGUGGUUUUAAUAAAUUGCAGGAGUAACAAACACAGCAGGGGCUGGCUCUGCUGAAGUUUGUUUGCUAAAUCCUGUGCUUGAGUAGGGGAGGGUUCCUGCCUCAUCACUGUUAUGUCAAAUAACACAUUAAAUUUUUAUUUUUUUUUUUAGAAAUACCCUUCCUAUCUUCUUGCAAGCUGUGCCCUGGGAAAGCUGAACUCUUCCCACCUCCCUUCUGCAAGGAGCCAGGUGAAGGCUGCCUCAGGAACUCGGGCAGGCAGUAAAAAGCAGCUGUUUCAGCAGGGUGGAAGAAAGCAACUGUCUGCUUUGAUGAAUGUCCCAGAUCAAUGAUUUCAGAGAGGCUGGAUGUAAGAGGAAUAUUAACAGCAUUUGCAGAUGAUCAUAAGUCAGGUGUUACAAACACAAGUAGGAAGAAAUAAUACAACAUAACCUAAAAGUCUUGGAAACAGGAAAUUGAAUGUGACAGUAAUGCCCCUCCUGGAGCAGCAGUGAGCCUCCUGUGGCUGGGAUCGUGGCUCACAGGAUGUGAGUGCCAGGGUAUUAAUGGCAGUGUGUUUUUCUCUCACUCAGAUCUUCUGCUGUGCCUUUUUAUGUUAGGUGAGGACAUGCCCAAGCCAAAGGCCACCUGAUCUCAGGUAGUGAUAUGGUGUUUGCUCUCCUUCCUUCACACUGAGCCAGUUGUAUGAAACACAAGGCAGUAUGAAGUCCCCUCAAAAAUAUACAGCUAAAAAGCCAAGUUACAUUCAAAUACACAUAAAUUAAUUUCAGAUGCAUAGGGAGGUUUUAAACUAAAAAUCUAAUAUUAUGAUGUCAAAGCCUUUGACUUCAAGGGAUGUAAUUUAUUUUUUUUCUACAAUGCAUGGUCUAGUGUAUUUUACUUUGGGCAGCACUGUUCAGAAGUUCAUUAGUAUUUGCAAGUAAUUAGCAGCCUGGCUUGAUGGCAAAAAGAUUCAACUAAAGGUACAUAUUGCUGGCCUAUGGGAUAGACACAUAACCCUUACAAACAGCAUGCAUGGAGUGCUAUUUUUUUAGUAAUUACUACAGCUGUUACACUGACAAAGCCAGUAGGAAAUGGCUUUUGGAUAUAGAAUAUAAAAUGUAUCUCAAGGGAUGUGAGGGAGACAUGAUGGGUUGAAAAUGUGAUCUUAAUACAGUAGAAACCAUGAAGGGGACAGUUCUGCACUGGAUUUAGCAAUUUUCCCCAAAUUUUUAUCUCUUGUGACCUUGAUCUUUUUGUCAGUUCCACCAAUCUUGUGGGUGGAGUGCAAGUUGGUAGUUUGGAAUAUUUUUUCCCCUAAUAGGAGGAAGGAACAGUGAGAGCAAGGGAAAAGAGCUCAGUUGUUGCACUGCUGCCUCAGGUAAGGGUUGCAGAAACUUUUCCAGGAGCUGGGCAGGGCUGGUGGCACUCCCAAGCUCUGGGUGCAGCCCAGAUCAGCAGAAAUGACACAAAUGUGUGGUGGUGGGGCAGGCUGGGGGUCAGGAACCCAGGGAGUCCCCUGGAGCUGGGCACAGCAGGACUGAGCCAGACCUCAGGGAAGAACCAAGGAAUUCAGCCUGAGCUGAAGUGUGGCAGUGGCCAGGGUGUGGGAGGGGGGUCUCGGGAGGCUCUUCAGGGCAGGGAUGCACUCAGGAACCAAACUGACUCUGAGCUUCUCCAGGUAGCUUUUAUUAGCAGGAUUGUUUUUCCUAUAGGGGGAAAAAGGCCUACUUUGCACUUGGAUUAAACUUUAGCCACUUUAAUUUUCACCCCAGCAGAGCUCCCUGUUACAGAGGGAUGAAGCAGUGCCAAGUGCUCUCACCAAGAACAUCUAAACAGCAUAUUCUUGUAGAAAGUUUACCCUUCCUAUUAAUUGAGGUUAAUUGUAGCUUUGCAAUUGCUACCUACAAGAGGAAAAGAAGAGUGUUUCAACCUCUGAGCUAUAAUUUGGAUUUUUUUUUUCUGUAACUGAGGGUACCAUAAGUUUUGGGUCCUGGUAGUUGAAGGCACAGUGCACACUCAGAGCCAAAGACUGAUGACAUCCCCCCCAGAAAAUUUACAGAGUCAGAAAAUAAUGUAGGAAAAAAGUCUCAAAACAUCCCCACAAAGUGGGAGCUGAGAAGUCUCUGGGCUCUGGUUUACUCAUGCUUGCAGAAGAAAUAUUUUUGACCUGAAACUGUGAAGUCAAACACAUUUGCUACCAGACCACUGCAACAACAGGUGAGAUGGUGGCCUUAGAAGGCAUCCAAAAUCAGUGUGUUUCAGGAAGGAGCUGGCAAGGCUCCAGAGAAAUAGGUUUUAUUCUGCUUUUGGGGCGGUUGUUUUUUUCUCUACAGAUUGUACCCUGCAUUUAUCAAUUGAGUUAUUUUGCAUUUAUUUUCAUUGUUCUGAGACAAUAAAUUCUCAGUGGCAAGAGUUGCUAAAAUACUGUAAGUAUGGCAUUUAUUUCCCCUCCUUGACUGGGGAAAAGCUCUUUAGUUUGUAAUCACUCUUUGAAUGGUAGUCUGUGACCCAGGGAAGCUAAUUUCAGCAGCAAUAAAAGCUGUGUCUUUUGUGCCUCCAGAAAAUAAAAUUUUAAGGACCUUGGAAAAUUUUUGGACCUUGACCAAUCUGCAAAUUCAAUAUGCCUAUUUCUGUCUCCCAGUGUUGGGAGAAGGAACCUCUAAAGUCUUCUCAGAGACCUAGAAUAGCUUUUAUUUUUUAACUAACUCCCCUUUGCAGUGUAGUUCAUAUUUCUUUUGUUAAUAAAGAGAAUUUUACUGAAGUUUUGGGGGGAUAGUAGUUACAUGACUUGCACUGGAAGAAAACUUCCCAGUAAAUCUUAAUGUAUGACAUUUGUGUCCUGGAGGGGGCUGCUCAGCCAGGUUUGCAAUUAAACAGCCAACAGGAGUAUUUUACUGCUGAGCUGAGAGAAAUCAUCAGCUCCAUCAUUUUGCAUCUGAAACACUUGUGAAUGUAAUAAUUAUUUUUGUCAGCCAGUCCUUUGUGCUUUCCAUCUCAGCAACACUCAUUGUCAAACAGCAAUUUCACUUGUUAAUCUUCCUCCUGUCUCCUGCUGAGGUUGUCUUUUUGGCCUGUUUCAGAUCCAGCAUGUUCCUUCUUCUUUUGACAAUGGGAUUUGAGUUUUGUGCAAACCUUUUCCCAAUUGCCUCCUUGUGGGGUUAGAAAAACAAAAAAAAGAAAUUCUGAUUUGUUUUACCAAUAUGCCCUUGGAUUAUUACUGAUGCAAAAUUGCAGCUUGCACUUUGAAGUAAGGGGUUAGGGAUGUUGAUGUUUUAUGAUUUGCUUCUCUGUCAGCAGUGUUAGGAUCUUGGUCCAUGAAAUUCCAAUUCCUGUAAAUUUGGAGUUAUAAUGCAGGCCUAGCAAAGGUGUUCCUGUACUGGAAGUGCUUUCAGGUGAUCCAUGCUCCAGUCCCUUUCUGUGUUUCUAUGGACAUCCUCAUGAGAUGCAAAGGUACUCUUGGUGCAGCCAUCUGAGAAAUGGGCACUGCUACCACUUCCCUUGCCUCCUAAAGAUGCCCAGUCUGGCUGGUUCAGUUUUGCUCAGCUUUCUGUCCCUUCAGGAAAUCACCACUGGCAGGAUGCCUGGUUAGAAGUGAAACCUCAGCCCUGUGUGACCCUCGUGCUGCCUUGGAGAGGAGCAGUGACAGUUUGCUGAGUCUGGAAACACAUUUCUCUUAUCUCCAGGCCCUUUGUGAGGUGAUCAGAACUGUGAAGACUGCUGUUGCUGCCCUCCUCAGCAAACCACCCUUCAGAGCAGGAGCAAUUCCAUUCCAUGAGUCUGUACCUUCUCCAUGGUAGGUCAAGUCGUGAUUUAACAGAGUGGAACAUCUGGGCUGGUGGUGAAUGUAAAUGCCCCAAAGAAUCAUCUUUGCUUUUUUUGUGACUGACUCUUAUGCCUGGGAAAACGAGCUGCAUGCGAACUACCAGAAGUACAUAAAAUACUUUAUCAAGUCCAGCUGCAGGGUGGCAGAUGCACAGCAACAGAGAAGGAGAAAAGGAGCAGUGGUAGCAAGUCCUGGGUGGCAUGAGUGGAAUCAUUCCAACGUGCAGGGGCAGAUUUGUACUCAAGUUGCUUCAUUGCAGUGUCCAGGAGCAUCAGCCUUCAGGCUGCCAUGUGUUUAGAGUCACCAUGAAAAUGAUAAGAAAUACAUCUACCUCCUCAUAACAGGGAUAUUCUUGUCUCCAUUUUAACCAGCUCCUUAUUUGUAGUGCUUUCCUGAAGUCCAGACUGAUGAGAAAAGUGAUUCUUCUAAAUACAGGUAAUAAAAUAAAUCUAAUCAAAGGCACAUGGUGGUUAGCUGAGAAUUGGCCUUUUACAAAUUAGUGUUACAUUGUAUUGAAUUAAGACUCAAUAUUCAUUUGCCUGGGACACUUACCUACUUACCUACAUUGUUGUUCUGUUUUUUUAGGGUGCAAGCUUGAGAGAUUUAGGAAUUUUUAUUCACGGAAAUUCCAAGCUUUCUACUUCUGCCUGUAGUAAUUCUUUAUGUUAUACUAUAAAUAUUAGGUGCAUUAAUUUCCUUCUUAAUUGUGGAACUCUACCUCAUGUAUCCUUAAUUUAAUUUAUUCAGAUUCCUUAAUUUCACAUAGGCCUAAAUUACACCUGGAUAUUGGCAGCCAGACAGAAAAUUACUGAUACAGUUUUAACACCUCAGUGUUUGACAGAGGAUAUUGCUGGCCCAAAGGAUGUAAUUUUUAAUUAUAUUAAAAGAAAAUUGAAAACGCUUGUUUGUUUACUCAAAGCCAUAAGGAGACCUGAGGGUAAGGUGUGAAUCUGGGCUCUGCCAUUUCCCUAAUUGCAGCAGUUUUAAUAAAACAUUAAAGCAUUGAUUAAGAGGUACUGUUUCUAUUGAAAGGGACUGCUCUUAAUUCCUUUUCUUUUUCCCUGGGGCAAUUAGUCACACUGUAGUUCUUUUCUGAAGUAGAAGGUAAAAACACUGAUAAGAUCAGUUUGAAAUCGAGGCUAGGUCAUUAUUUAUGUAUAUGAUAGUGUGCCUAUAAGGCUUAUUUUUAAUAAGAAUGUAGCUUUUUCUGCCUUAACCACUUAGAUUUUCAACUCCUGGGAACUAUUUUUGCCCUGUGACUCUGAGCACAACCUCGGGCUCAGUGGCCAUGAGGUGCUUCUGCCCUGUGCUGUGAUUAAUCCUGGUGAUUUUAUCAUAUGCAAACCCCUUCCAUGCAGCAAGGAGAACUUGGAUUAAGGUUCCAGAAACCUUUCAUGUGGCAUCUUUUCUGGACAGAAGUGAGCAGGAGCCUGUCCUGCUCAGGGUGCUGUCAGGAGCAGCCCCAUGGAAGUACAGGAGCAUUUGGGAUCUCUUAAUUAAGGAAGAACUUGGUGCUUGGGUAAUGAUCCUGACAAAAGACUCUCCUUUACUGAGGUGCUUCAUUCCUUGGGCUGCCCAAGGCUUUUCUAGGAAGUGCUGUAAAAAUAUUAUGAUCAUUUCUACCUCUCCAUAUACUGCAGCAUUUUCAGCUCCAGAUGAUUUUCCUUGUGUACUAAUCCUGGCCUUUCUGGUGUGACCAUUACUGCUGACAUUGGGCUGUUUUCAUGUUUUUCAUCCCUUGCAAGGGAUGUGAAAAGAGUGCAGGUGUCUCACUCUGUAUUCCCUGAAAUGAUGUUGAGCAGCCUUUGUAUCAAAUCUUGCAUCUCUGUUUUUUCAGCUCCCCUGGCACCUUCUUUUUAUCACUUCUGAGUGCAAAGAAAAGCUGUGCACUUUAUGCUCAGAAAUAUCCAAGAGGAAAAAAAGGGAUUACUUGGAAAUUCAAAUGAAAGCUUUUAGAACCAUUCUUGAGAAGGAAUCAGCAAAAGAAAGGAAUAUUUAAAAUCCUAAAACACUCUAGAUGCCUGGCAGUGAGACAAUAUCAAUUAUACAUGUAGCUGUGUGUUUAGAAACUCAAUAAAACUCUGCCAUUUCUCAGUGAUCCAGAAGAACAGCUUGUUCUGUAAAAGGCAUUUUCUAACUAUAGACAGGUAUCAAUUCCUUUAUUGACUGGAUUGAUUCCUUCCUCUGCUAAUGCAUCUGCUGUCCUGAUAAGGUGACUCUGACCUGGAACUUCCCUUCUUUGGUGGAAGGGGUGAAGAAAGGAGGUGUUUGUUCCCAGUGCUGUCAGUGUGCAGCCCCUGCUCAUCAGUGCUCUGGAACAUCAGUGUGAGAACAGCUGACCAUCCCCAGAGUGCCCUCUCUUCUGGUCACUUCAGCAGCACACCACUCUGUUCUGAUUUCUUCCAUCACCCAGAUACAUUAAGGGAAGGAAAGCAGUCACUCUUGGGUACUCCCUGGUGUUAUUUUUGUCUCUGAGCACAAAUGCCAUUUGUUCAAAAGCUGAUGAGAUUUAUGUUUUUCUGAGGAAUCCCCAUGCUGGAAUGAACUCCAGGCUCCCCUGCCUGGGAAGCAUUUGCCAGAGCUGCUGAUGUGAUUGAGCAGCUGGGAGGAACUCCAGUGCAGGUGAAUUCCAACCUCUGGAAUUCCUUAAGGGAGUGGUUGGAGUGAGUGUGAAGACAGUCUUGGAUUUUGUAAACCUAGUUUUAAGGUUUUUUAAUUUUAAAGGAUUCCAGAGGUUUGAAGAUGCUUGUAAAUCAUCCCGGCAGGAAGACCAAGCAUCAUAGUCUUCAGAGCAUUCUCUUGGCCAGAAUAUUCCCCUACAGCUCUGGGGAAGAGGGAAGUUGGGAAGGAAUCCUAAAGCAGAGACCAGAAGUGAAGAGCUACAGUCUCCAGCAGCCUCAGCUGAGAGGUACAGAGAGCCCUGAGCAUGAAACUUUGCUGCAGAGCUGGAGAAAGAUGGAUCUGUUCCCUCUCCCACACAGCUGGGGAAGGCUGAGUGCUGUGGCUGCCAGCAGCCUGCUGCCUCAGAAUGGAAUCAGCACUUGGGCAGGGGAAACACAGAGGGGAUUUCAUUAACAUUCAUGGACUGGCUAAGCAAGAGCUCUGCAUGCUGACAAGAUAAUGUACAGCUUUAAUAUAGCAAAUUUCUACUGUGGUGGGGACUGCCCAGCUGUAACAUUUAUUUUCACUGUUUGAGUCCUGAGGAAGAUGGGGGUGAGAUGCUGUUCCCUGUUUCCAUCAAAGCACCCACUUCUCUGACAAGGACCACGCUUCCCACCUCACUUUUUCAAAUGGUUGCUCAGACUCCUGAUGCUGAGCAGAAAGCAUUUAAGCUGUUUUUCAAAAUGAACAUUUAUCAGGGGGUGUCCUUCCCCCUUCCCAGGGUAGAGUAUUAAUUAAAUUGGAGGACUCAAGAGCCUGUCUGGAAGGGAUUCUGGAUGCAGAGGAGGUGCAAACCCAGAGGACCAACGUGAAAUGCAGGCAGCUGUUCUUCUAAAAUGGAAGAGUUAAAAAUCCAAACUCAAAAGGACAAAGAAAGGGAAAAAAGGAGAAAUCUUGAUUCUGCAAAAUGAGAAGCUGCUUAUCGGAGGAAAUGUGGAUGUGUGAUGCCAUGGUGGGGCAGUUUUCUCUCCAGCUCCUGUGCUUCCUCUGAGCUGGUUUGACUUUAGAAAUAUAUAAAAGAAAGGUGACUUCUUGUUUGUGUCAUGUACUGGAAAAGAUGGAGUUGGAAGAGAUGGCAGAUUUUGCACCACUAAUGUUGCAGGAGUAGAGGCAUUCCCUUACUGUCUGUCGAUAUUGAAAACAGCCUGGAAUGGCUUUUUAGCUUUUGUCUGGGAAAAAUAACAGGAAUACCAAAGUAUAAUAUUAGUUAGGAAAGAAGCAAGCAGCCUCAACAUGAAUUUUGUGUUUGCUGUGGUGUGAAGAGAAGCACUGUAUGGGUGGUGGCAGUGAAGAUGCAUUCUGGGGAUGCAGGUAAGCUAUCCAUGUUCUCCAGGGAUGGUAGUUUAGGGCUAAGGGGGAUGGAUAGAUUAAAAAACCCCAAUCUCUUAGAAAUCAGAUCCUGAGAACUGAGUCGUGAUUCCUGCAAAGCCAAUGGUAGGGAUCUCCCUGGGAAUAAAGGCUUGGAAAUGUGCUGUUCAGUGCUUUCCUGGCACACAUCCCUCCUUUAUGAAGCUGGGAUCCAGGCCUGAGCAGCAGCUGGUCACUGGGCCAAGUUUAUCCAGAGAGCUGAGAAACUGCAACAAGCCACCCUCACUAUCCUGAGUGCAGAGUUUCCAGUGCUCUGGAGCACUGGGAUGUGGUUGGAAUUGUGCUCCAGGAAAAAUUUACCCCUGGAACAGCUCUGUUAACCUCCAGCAAAUCACUCAAAACCUGCAGUGCUGGCCCAGGCAUUCAGUGCAAACAAAGCACAAGCUGCUGUAGCACAUUUGUGCCAGGGUUUCCUGAUUCCAAGUGCAGUCAGAUAUGGCCUAAAAUGAACCAUUGUUGUAACAAUGACAAGAGAGGCUGGGGUGAAAAUCAUGUUAUUUCCUUUGGAAAGAAAAGAGUUCUAUUUUUAACUAUUUCCCCCUUAAUCUUACUAUUUUGUUCUACCAGUGUUUAUAGCAGAGAGUACAAUACUUCUUGUUGUGAUUGUUCUUUGUGUGGCUGGGAUAUAAGUAGAUGUUCUGCAGCAAAUUCUCUGUCUGGGAUACAGAGUCCAAAGAGAUUAUGCUGCAGGAAGUUCUAAAAAAAACCCCAAACCCUUACACAAUCCCCCACUCACUCCCUCCAAAAAGCCAUAACCCAAACAAAUAAAAACCCUGAAAGACUGUCAUAGUUCCAAAAUAACCACAAAAAAUGUGUGCUGGGCUUAAAACAGAAGUCUGGGGGAAAUGAUUGUCAGAUCCCUGGGUGCGUUUGAGAACUGAUUUAUGUACAUGAAACAGAAAAUAAGAAACACACACUUGGGCUGUGCUUGUGUGUUCUCACUGAGAAAAAUGAGCAGCUCCUCUCAUUCUUUGCUUCUUUAUUAGAAGUCAUCUGAUCUUCCCUCCCCUUCUGCAUCCACUAAUCCUCACCAAAAUGGCUGGAAAGAACUCCUCUUAUGCUUUGGGGUGUUUUCCUGAGAUUAUUUCUACUACUUCAGCAAGCUCGGGGGAGUUACUGGAUGCUCAGGAGGAGUUUUUGGUUUGGACCUUACAAACCUUGGACCCUGUUCAACAGUAAGUAGCCAGGAGAGAACAGAGGGACUGCUCCCUGUCAUCUGAAAUAAAGUUUAAAUUAAUUUCAAACAGUUCUUUGAGAGCAGACAUUGGUACAGGAUAAAAAAAUUCACAGGUACUUUAUCAAGAUGCCCUUCUGCCUCAGCCCUUUGCUAUCAUUUAUGUAUCCACAGCCAUCUAUGCACAAAUUACAGAUAAUUUAUCAGGCUGUGAUCUUUUCCAUCAUUUUGCAGGAUGCUGCCUGAAGGAAAGAGCAGAGCUGGGGGUUUGUGUUGAGUGGGUGAUGCAUGAAAGGGGCUUGUGGCAGUGAGUUAGAUGGAGCACAGCCCACAAAGGAAAGGGAAGCAGAUUUUCAGCAUCUCUGUGCCAUUGUUUGCACAAUGUGUUUUACUGAGGUUUUGAUAAAACUGGUAUUUAAAGGAAAAUCCCCAAAUCUAACCCCAUCAUGGAAACUACCUGAUGGUUUGUGUAAAUGGACAAAUUGGGAAGUGCAGCUUCUUUGGAUAAUUUUGUACUUUGAUCUGAGAAUCCUUCAGGCAUCUCAUCUUGGCUCUUUUAUCCUAAUAUUUAGCCCUUCCAGAAUUUCUUUUGCCUGAGGAGUUCAAAGCUUUUUGCAGACUUUGUGUAGAGUUUUCUUUGUCAAGACACAGGACUGGAAAGCAGGCAGAGUGCUGGAAGGUCCUGCAUGUUCCCCUCUUGGUUUCCCUGCCCCCUCAGCUCCCAGCAGCAGCAGCAGGGAAUGGAAAUUCUUUUGGGAUGUGGCAACUCUGACUCAAAAAGAGGAGUUCUAUUCCACAGAACCAUCUUCCAGGCUGAAUUUUCUUUUCAUUUGGUGUUAAAUCGAGUGCAGUCACAGAAAAAUGUGGGAUGGCAUGGAAGGCACAUUACAAAGUGCAGCAAGCUCACCUGAGAAGCAGGUACACCUACAAGUGUGGAAAGCUGUCUGAAAUCAUCUGAAUAACGUGGUUUGUGCUCAUUAUCCUGGCAAGCAGAAUUUCCUGCCUGUGUUGGUAGCCUGCUUGCUACAGUUAAUCAGCAACCUGCCUAAUCUCACUAACCUUCUUUGUGUAACCUGCCUAGCUAUGGUGUAAUCUGCUUAUGGCACUGAGCCCUGACUAUUAGUAGCAAGUUUGGAGCUGUGCAGGUGCAAACAUUUUUAUUUUCAGUCCUGUUGACAGCUGGCUUCCAUGGUGUUUGUGCUCAUGAAAUUCAGCCUGGUGGCAAUGAUGAGAAAAUAAAGGUAUUUCUGACCUGCUAACAUCUGCCUCCUCUGUGCCACAGCCCCUGAGCUGUGGGGGAUUGUCCCAGGGCUAAUCCUGGGAUGCAGCUCCUGGGACACGGACCAUGGCUGGCCACAGCUGCUGGGGGACAUCUGCUGGCCCUGCCACCUGCUGCCCUUCAGCCUGGGGCUCUCUUCAUCCAUCACACCCUGGCCCUGGGACCCCUGGCUUCUGUCUCAGCUGACUGCUGGUGUUUUAGCAGACAGGAGAAACAGGAAUUUGUCUGAUACUGUUUGUAAGUCUUAGUUCCUUCCUCAAAUUCCUGCAAUUCCUAUUGAAGAAAGAAGCAAUUUUGAGUUUUGCUGGAGUAUGCAAGGGUUUUUCUUUGUUUGUUUUCCUAAAGCCAAGUAAUUACCAAAAGAGAUGUAAAACUGUAAUUCCACUGAAGGGUGAGGAGGGCAGACACCAAACUAUUUUAAAUUUUAUCUCAUUUUAUCUAAUUUCUCUGAUUUCAUUAGUUUAAUGUUUGUAAGCCAGCAGCUGCCAUAUCUCUAAACAGUAUUCCUGGACAAAUGUAUUCUGUUAUAAACUCAUGUUGGACUUCAGCUUGUGGCCAAUGGGGCACACACACUGUUAGAAAUAAUUUUUAAUAAUAUAUUUUGAUCUUUAGAGUGCCUAUUAUCUGCCAAGCUCAGGCAAAUGUUUUGCUUGCUGCCAUUAGAGAAGCCUUGAAGAUUCUACAUGAGACCAGAAUGAAUUCCAAGCCAGGGAUGGCUUUAAACAUUUCCUUCAAGAAUUUGAAUUCUUUUGUUAUUCUCUUCAUCUGGAGCAGCUGUAAAAGAGUCUGAAAACUCUGCUGCUCCAAGUGAUUUCCAUCAGUGGCUCCUUUAAUACCUCAAGGUUUGCUCACCUGUUCAUGAGGAUCUUUCUUUUCCUAAAAAAGAGAAGCCUUGAGGAUUCUACGUGAGACCAGAAUGAGUUCCAAACCAGGGAUGGCUUUAAACAUUUCCUUCAAGAAUUUGAACAUUUUCUUCAAGAGUUUUGUUAUUCUCUUCAUCUGGAGCAGCUGUAAAAGGUAAUGAUGUAAUAAUUUCUUCCUGGAAGGAAAAGAGAACAUAACCUGCCUGGUGUGAUAUCUCUGGACAGGAGGGGAUGGUUUCUGGAGGAAGCAAUAUUGUAAAAACAAAAAAUGCUUCAAAAAGCACAGCCAGCAGUGGAAGAGGUUCCUGAGCCCCAGCCCUUCCUCACUGCCCUUCCUCUUCACUGGCCUUCUCCUCAGAAUCAUCACUCUCAUACUCCUCAUCCUCAUACUGGAAAGCACCCUCAGCUUCAGGGUCAGACUGAGCUUCCUCUUCACGGGACCCGUCUGACCUGGGUCUGCACUCAUCCUCCUCUUCCUCCUCCUGGCAAUGGCCACGGGAUGGGCCUGCCUUGGCUUCCUCCUCCUCUUCCUCCUCCUGGCAAUGGCCACGGGAUGGGCCUGCCUUGGCUUCCUCCUCCUCUUCCUCCUCCUGGGAAUGGUCCAGAGAUGAGCCUGCCUUUUCUUCUUCCUCCUCCUCCUCCUCGGAAUGGCCAAGUGAUAGGUUUGCCUUUGCUUCCUCCUCCUCUUCCUCCUGGGAAUGACCACAUGAUGGGGCUGCCUUUGCUUCCUCUCCCUCCUCCUCCUCCUCCUGGUCACUGUGCCAGCUGGACUGAGGCUCAAGGACACCAGGGCUGGCUCUGGCCUCUCCCCCAUCCUCCAGGUCACUGCACUGCUCAUCUGGGGUGGAGGUUUUGGCACCUUUUCCCUCCUCUUCCUCCUCCUCCUCCCAGGACUGCUCAGACUGGGGACUGCCACCAGCUGCUUCCUCAAACAAAUCCAUCUUUUUCAUUUUAACCUUGGUGAUUCUGAAAAGACAAAUUGCAUGUGGGGUUUUAUUCUCUGGGAAGAUGCUUUCCACUUUAUGUGACCCAGGACAAAGCCUGGUAGCCUUGGCUGGGUGGAACUGGAGAAGGGAAGGGGGGGGACACAAGAGUCUCUUUUUAUGCUAGAAAGUAACUCAGAAGUAUUACUUAUAUAUUUUUUUAAAUUUCUGCUUCCAAUUAAAUCAUAACACCCCAUAGAUACUAAAAACUAUUUUUAAUAAGGUUCACUUAAAAAAUCUAAAAUUUAAAGGUAGUGACUUACAGCAACCUGCCAGAAUUUUGGAUGAAAGGAACAAACAAGGAAUGUUUUUCUUUUUUCCUUUGAAGUGAAUUACAUAACAUAACCAGUUUGGUUAAGCAGCUCUCCUCUGUUUUACAAAAUAACAUUUAAUUCAGGAAAACCAAUCAAAAAUACAUACUAAUGCUAACAUACCACAUAGCCAAAUAGUUCUUUGGAAAAUACUGCAAAUCAUUUAAAAAAACCCCUUAAAUCUGCACAAGGAAAGAUUUCUAAUUAUUAGAUACAUAGUGAGUAAAAAGAAAAGCCUUCAGUCAUCUGUACCUUGCUCUGCCAGCACUGGGGGUGACACCUCCAGCAGUGGGGAACUGCAGUGAUUUGGCUGCUCCUCCUUUCUUUGAAACAAACUCUGGGCAGAUCCCCAGUGCUCUCAGUCUGUUUGAAUAAUACUUUUCUGCAGCUAUUCUGGCAUUUUUCUGUAGAAAAAUCAGAAUGAUUAAAUGUUAUCUAAUGCAUUAAAUGCCUGGCUUUUGAUACUCUUAUUUAUAUCAAUCCUCUGAUUCAUUAAUUGCUGCUGACAACUGGAAAUGAUUAUUCACUGCAGGUAAGAAUAGCAAAACACUUGAAAAUUUUAUCCCAGAUUUUACUCUUCUGUACCAGCAAUGCUUGGAGUUAUUAAUGUUGGAACUGAACCAGCCACAUUUACAACAAUUCUCUGCUCCCUGUGCAAGCACACCUCAAAAAUCACUGAUAUUUACAUGGAGAUGGGGCAACAGAGUUGAAUGGAGAAACACUGCCCUGAAAAGUGCUUUUGAAGUAUCUUCUAAAAAUGUCAGACCACAAAUUUCUUAUUCAGUAUCAGUCAAGAUUAAUUAGUAGUUCAGAAACAAGGCAACCUGAGUGACUCUUUCAAAAAGCAGUGGCAUUUGUUUUACUCUUUCUUCCAUUUCUUGCAAUUCUUGCAAAUAUUCCUGCCUUCUCUGCUUCUCGUUGUUCCUAGGGGGAGCAGAGUACAAGAGACAUCAUUAUUAAUUUAUAGUACAAGGAGUCAUUUUCUACAGCAGUUAAAUUGCUCAUAACAAAUUAAAUGUUGUCAUACUUCAGGAUACAUUAGAGGUACUGAACAAUUCAUCUCUGAAGGAGCCACCCUGGCUAAGCACAGGCAGGUCCUGGCUACUGGACUGAAACAGAGGCUGAGUUUGGAUUCUUGGAGUUCUUGGUAAAAAAAAAAAAUUGGAUGUUUAGGGUUUUUUUACAUGCUGAUCAUACAGAUCUUCCAGUUGUUCUAAGCAAAACACCCCAGGAAAUUAAGAGCAUUAAAUAAAAAUCAGUGCUUUUCAGGUCUGAAGGAGAGAAUCUUGCUGCUUUAGCAGCUGAUCACCCGAGAGGUGGCUACAGUCUGGAUCAUGGAACACUUGUUGCCUGAGCUGGUUUGUCAAGGGCCCAGUCAAUAGAGCAGGACAAUGAAACUGUGCAUUCAUAACUGAAAUGGUCCCUGGGAUCACAGGGAGCCCUGGAUAAUCCAGGUGCAAUGGGCUGUGACCCUUCCUCAGAGGGGGACAGUGCCUCUGACCUGGCCACAUCUGCCACUGCAGGUCAGGCACUUGAGGGCAAGGAUGAGACCAAGGGGGGCCUUUGACACCUCUGCUUCCUCCAGCCCCUCUCCCUGACCACCUCUGAAUUCCUCACCAUGCUGGGAAGUGAACUUCCAUUCCCUGCUCUGGAUGUCUGUCUGUCUGCCCCUGACAGACAGCAUGACAGACAGAGUGACACAUUCCAGCCGGGCCGAAAUGAGCAAUAUCAGGUUCAACACCUGCACCGGAAAGUUGCAACAGCAGCAUUUUACACCCAGCAUUUUACUUUCCUGACAUCUGAUUAAGCUGAACCCUGUAGAAUGAGAUUUGCUGUUGAACAAACCCAAAUCACAUCCACAAUCACCUACUGUGCCUCUUAAUUCUCUGUCCCAAAGUCAGCAGCUCCUGUGCUUGAGGACACAUGGAUUAUCAAGCUCCUGUUAUUAGCAGUAUGCCAGGUUACUGGAAAUUAGGACUUGUGCUUGCUGCCCCAGAAUCCUGCCCAGGCAUGAAGCAACAGGGGCAGAGCAAUCAGUGCCUCUCACCAUCCCCACAUAACUGACACCUUAAAUUGACAACAGUGCAGCAGUACCCCGUGCCAGGCCAGACCACAAACCUCACUAAAGACUUGUUCACACAGGAUUUAUUUUUCUCAGGAUUAGAAUAGCAGAAAGGGUUAAAUUAGCCCCAGACAGGAGGCCAAGCAGCAGUCAGGGGGUUAGAGCUGUGUCAGAGCUGGAGCCAUCUGGAGUGGCAGCUUACAGCACUCCAAGAAGGCUCUCGUGUUCUUCUCUGUGCAUACACAAAGAGUCUUUGCACUGCAUCUCUACUCCAGGGAACCUGGGAUCCCAUCCUCCUGAGCACCAGCAGCUUCCUCACUCACUGCUGUUACACUGGGAAGUUAAAAUAGUCCUGCUUUUAUUUCCCUCUUCAGUGGGCACCUGCUGGGACAAAAGUGAAUUGUGAAAUGUUUGCUGCUGCACCCAAGUUGUACCAACAGCAGUGCACACCCAGCUCUGCAAUGAUAUUCUGUAUCCACACUGUCCCCUUUCCUUCUGAUUUUUACAACCUUUUCCUCUUUAGUUGAUACAUCAAUGGAGAAAACACAGGACUCUCCUGUUACUGAAUCUAUAAUAAUCUAAUGUGGAAUAUAUAUCUAUUUCUAUAUGCUAUAUAUUUCUAUACUCUGAGUUCAAUAUAGGUUGGCAACAAUUUCCCAGCUGAAAUGCUAAAUUUGGCCAUUUUUCACCAGCUGCUUGCACCAUGUUUAAUUUACCACGUAAGUAUCUAAACUCAGACUAUGCUAUUUUUUACACACUGUAUGUUUAACAUACAGUGCAAUCCCAAACCUCUCCUUCUCAUUGCUGAAAGAGGUGUUUGGGAUUCAGGGGAAUGCUACAAAAUACCUGAAUGUUUUUAAUCUGGGUUUAGACAUCUGAGCUAGGCUCUGAUGUGGGUCAUUGGCCUCAGCCCGAGCCAUCACCAUUUUCUGGAAUUUUUUUGUCCUUUGUUUCUGCUUGUUUCUGUUCCUUUUUUGUUGUUCUUCCAGCUUUCUUUUUUCCUCGAGGGAAUUCCUGGUGGGGAAAAUAAACUAAGGCUAAUUAAUUUUAAACCUAGAGCAAGACUUCAAAGGAAUCUUUGGCAAAGAUGAUUCCAAAGAGAACAACAGGGUGAAAACAGGGUUGCUAUGAGAGGACACAAUGUGUGUGCCAUUUCAAGGGAUUCAGGAUAUCCUGGGAAACCAGUCAUUUGUCUUCUUCUGACACAAAUGCAAUAGUGUUCCUUUAACAAUAAUAAAUACUAAUUAAAUCCUAUAUUUAAAUAUUUUGAGAUUUAUAUUGUAAGCUCUUCUAGUAACAAAUUAAAUCCUAUAUUCACUGCAUGGAAGAAUUAACUACAGAUAGAAUUAUAGAUAUUUGGUAGAAAUACCAAAAAUAACACCAAAUAAAAUACCAAAUAUGCAGUAAUUAAAAAAAAAAAAUCUACUUUUCAAGCAUACAUAAAGUAGAGCAUCUCCAAGCAGUCACCUUAGGGCUUGCAGCCGUCGUCUGGUGGAUUCUGUGGUUUUGGGAGCUUUGGGUUUUCCUUCUCCCAGGAGAGGUGGCUUUGCCCCUGACUGCCCCAUCUGAGGCUUCCUUCUCGGAGAGGCAAACGGCCACCGUGUUUCCUUCAAUUUCUCCUCAUCCUCUUGCAUGUCCUUCAAGAUCUUGUCCUUGUUUGAGGGAAUGUAUGAAGUACAAAGGUCAAAAGGCUCACACACUGUGAGGGGUCUCACUUUUUUUUGUUGCAGGAGGCGUUUCUGGAAUUUCUCAUGAAGGAGUUCAAAAUCGGGAACGCUCGAUUUGAUCUUGAGUUUGUGCUCCAUUUGCUUUGGUUCAGUGCUCUUGUGUUUCUUCUUUUUGUUGGUCCCUUUUGAGGCCAGUCUGCUGUUGGGUACAGAUGAAUUUUGUAGCAGCUCCUCAGCUCUCAUCCUGAUCCUGAUUUCCCUGCAGAGCUCCUCCUCCUUUACCUUGUCAUGGAAAUCUGGACUAUAAACACAUCUGGGGACCGGUUUUGCCCUGAACACUUUGGUUUUAUUUUCAGGUGGGGAAAGGUCUUUCAACUGCAUUUUCCUGGCUUCAUGC